rnacentral:rRNA from 1 species
GACGAACGCUGGCGGCGUGCUUAACACAUGCAAGUCGAACGGUGAAGCGCCUUCCUUUUUGGUGGGUGUGGAUGAGUGGCCAACGGGUGAGUAACACGUGAGUAACCUGCCCCCUUCGUCUGGACAACCGCAUGAAAGUGUGGCUAAUACGGGAUAUUUUGGGUCUGUCGCAUGAUGGGUCUGGGAAAGAUAUUGUUUCGGUGGGGGAUGGGCUCGCGGCCUAUCAGCUUGUUGGUGGGGUGAUGGCCUACCAAGGCGGUGACGGGUAGUCGGCCUGAGGGGUUUGACUGUUGCGCUGGGACGAUGACGUGGCGAAGACUGCGACAGGAGGCAGCAGUGAGGAAUAUGGCACAAUGGGCGUCAUGCUGGAGCAGCGCCGCCGCGGGCGGGAUGGAGCCCUUCUCGUUGUGAUCCUCUUUCGCGAGUGAAGCAGGCCUGCCUCGUUUGUGGGUGGGUUGACGGUAGCUGGAGAAGAAGCGCCGGCUAACUACGUG